rnacentral:rRNA from 2 species
AAACGACUCUCGGCAACGGAUAUCUCGGCUCUCGCAUCGAUGAAGAACGUAGCGAAAUGCGAUACUUGGUGUGAAUUGCAGAAUCCCGUGAACCAUCGAGUCUUUGAACGCAAGUUGCGCCCAAAGCCAUUCGGCCAAGGGCACGUCUGCCUGGGCGUCACGCAU